rnacentral:rRNA from 1 species
UGGGGAAUUUUGGACAAUGGGGGCAACCCUGAUCCAGCCAUGCCGCGUGCAGGAUGAAGGUCUUCGGAUUGUAAACUGCUUUUGUCAGGGAAGAAAAGUUUAGAGCGAAUAACUCUGAAUGCUGACGGUACCUGAAGAAUAAGCACCGGCUAACUACGUGCCAGCAGCCGCGGUAAUACGUAGGGUGCAAGCGUUAAUCGGAAUUACUGGGCGUAAAGCGUGCGCAGGCGGUUCUGUAAGAUGGGUGUGAAAGCCCCGGGCUCAACCUGGGAAUUGCAUUCAUGACUGCAGGACUAGAGUUCACCAGAGGCGGGUGGUAGUCCAAGUGUAGCAGUGAAAUGCGUAGAUAUUAGGAGGAAUACCUGUGGAGAAGGCGACUUACUGGACACAAAUCUGACGCUGAGGAUCGAACGCGUGAGUAGCAAACAGG